GAAACGCGAUAGUUAAUGUGAAUUGCAGAAUUUAGUGAAUCAUCGAGUCUUUGAACGCACAUUGCGCCCAUUGGUAUUCCAUUGGGCAUGUCUGUUUGAGCGUCAUUUCAACCCUCAAGCCCUGGUUGCUUGGUGUUGGGAGCUUGCUGUGAAACGCAACUCCUCAAAGCUAGCUGGCAGAGUCGGGAUGCACUCUAAGCGUAGUAAACUUGAUAGUCUCGCUUCUGCAGUUGUCCCGGCCGUCUUGCCAUAAAAGCCCAAACUUUUUUGUUUUCUAUGGUUGACCUCGGAUCAGGUAGGAAUACCCGCUGAACUUAAGC
rnacentral:misc_RNA from 1 species